UACGUAGGGUGCGAGCGUUGUCCGGAAUUACUGGGCGUAAAGAGCUCGUAGGUGGUUUGUCGCGUUGUCCGUGAAAACUCACAACUCAAUUGUGGGCGUGCGGGCGAUACGGGCAGACUGGAGUACUGCAGGGGAGACUGGAAUUCCUGGUGUAGCGGUGGAAUGCGCAGAUAUCAGGAGGAACACCGGUGGCGAAGGCGGGUCUCUGGGCAGUAACUGACGCCGAGGAGCGAAAGCGUGGGGAGCGAACAGG
rnacentral:rRNA from 1 species